rnacentral:lncRNA from 1 species
AAUACUUAAAAGUUACUGUAUCUUUAAUUUACUUAGAAAGAAAUUGGAACCCAGAGAUUUGAAGACUCCUGGCGCUUUAAAUAACUAUUUUGUGACAACCGGGAUCUAGAACUCUAUAACCUUGACUUCCAGUCCCAUGUUGAGUCCCUAGAGCAUGCUACAGCCCCACAUCUUAAGUCAUCUUCUGGGUAAAUUGAAAGUUGGAGAGGAUAAUGGGACAUUUUAAUUUUUAUGCAGUUGGCAAUGUGACAGACUGUGGCUAAUCGAUGACCCUGCAUCCCUGAGUGAGUACUCAGAGCAGACGCCUCUUCUGUCCUUGAAGACACAAGGUGAAAGCGAAUUUCACCAUUGUUCCUUCUGGGAUAAAGCAUUGGAGGAUAACUUUCACUUGGGGUUUAAUUCCAGAACCAGUUCAUUCAAGGUCAUAGUCUCUUGGCUCAGGAGCUAA